rnacentral:rRNA from 1 species
AGCGAACGCUGGCGGCAGGCUUAACACAUGCAAGUCGAACGCCCCGCAAGGGGAGUGGCAGACGGGUGAGUAACACGUGGGAACGUACCCUUUGGUUCGGAAUAACUUGGGGAAACUCAAGCUAAUACCGGAUAAGCCCUUAUGGGGAAAGGUUUACUGCCGAAGGAUCGGCCCGCGUCUUAUUAGCUAGUUGGUGAGGUAAUGGCUCACCAAGGCGACGAACAAUAGCUGGUCUGAGAGGAUGAUCAGCCACACUGGGACUGAGACACGGCCCAGACUCCUACGGGAGGCAGCAGUGGGGAAUAUUGGACAAUGGGGGCAACCCUGAUCCAGCCAUGCCGGGUGAGUGAUGAAGGCCUUAGGGUUGUAAAGCUCUUUUACCCGGGACGAUAAUGACUGUACCGGGAGAAUAAGCCCCGGCUAACUUCGUGCCAGCAGCCGCCGUAA